GCCAGACUCCUAGGGAGGCAGCAGUGGGGGAUAUUGCACAAUGGGGGAAACCCUGAUGCAGCGACGCCGCGUGGGUGAAGGAGCGUUUCGGCGCGUAAAGCCCUAUCGGCAGGGAAGAAGGAGGACGGUACCUGACUAAGAAGCCCCGGCUAACUACGUGCCAGCAGCCGCGGUAAUACGUAGGGGGCAAGCGUUAUCCGGAUUUACUGGGUGUAAAGGGGGCGCAGACGGCAGCGCAAGCCAGGAGUGAAAGCCCGGGGCCCAACCCCGGGACUGCUCUUGGAACUGCGCGGCUGGAGUGCAGGAGGGGCAGGCGGAAUUCCUGGUGUAGCGGUGAAAUGCGUAGAUAUCAGGAGGAACACCGGUGGCGAAGGCGGCCUGCUGGACUGCAACUGACGUUGAGGCCCGAAAGCGUGGGGAGCAAACAGGAUUAGAUACCCUGGUA
rnacentral:rRNA from 1 species